GACAUAGGUGGCAAGCGUUAUUCGGAAUUACUGGGCGUAAAGCGCACGUAGGCGGCGAUUUAAGUCAGAGGUGAAAGCCCGGGGCUCAACCCCGGAACUGCCUUUGAGACUGGAUUGCUAGGAUCUUGGAGAGGCGGGUGGAAUUCCGAGUGUAGAGGUGAAAUUCGUAGAUAUUCGGAAGAACACCAGUGGCGAAGGCGGCCCGCUGGACAAGUAUUGACGCUGAGGUGCGAAAGCGUGGGGAGCAAACAGG
rnacentral:rRNA from 1 species